UACAGAGGGCGCAAGCGUUGUUCGGAUUCACUGGGCGUAAAGGGCGCGUAGGCGGUUGGGCAAGUCUGAUGUGAAAUCUCCGGGCUUAACCCGGAAAUGGCAUUUGGGACUGCAAGGCUCGAGUGCGGCAGAGGAGACUGGAAUUCCUGGUGUAGCAGUGAAAUGCGUAGAUAUCAGGAGGAACACCGAUGGCGAAGGCAGGUCUCUGGGCUGACACUGACGCUCAUGCGCGAAAGCGUGGGGAGCAAACAGG
rnacentral:rRNA from 1 species